GCUGCAGCAGCGAAUCUGCCGCUCUGUCUUGGCUCAGUGCCAUCGUCUGUCAAGCGUUGUUUUACUCACAGACAGCAGCAAAUGGUGGUGAUAGUGUAUGCAACAUCACUUCUCCAGUUCGAUGGUGGAAAUUUGAAUUUCGAAAAAGGUAUUCAGACCCGUCCGAUGCCAUUCUCUUGUAAACGAAGUCUUUUCUUGGCACGAAACAAGCGUUGCGAGGUUGCUGGAAUGGUAGUUAAGCAGUCCAUGCCGACUUAGUAUUUGCCUUUAGUGUCCCUUUAAACAAGCCAAAGAGGUUGCAAGGAGACAGAGGUGAGCAAGAGAAGCCUUGGUCUGGAGCCAACAUUUCAACAAGCAAGCAUAUUUGUGAGGGCCCACGCUGAGGCUUCCCUUGCUCCUCCACUGUUGAUUGGCUGAAUAUUAAGCGGAAUUUAAUCUGAGAGCAACUUCAAAAUUUUUUUGUGAACACACUGUGCUCAGGUUUGUCAUGUGCUGUUGAAAGAGAGAAAAAUUGCUUUUAGUGACUUGUCAUGUUUAUGAAUUGUGGAGUAGGCCGGUUGUAAGAGCUUGCCUGUUCUAGCUAUCUCUUUCCCUAAAGUGCAGGGCUAGCCUAGUUAUCGAUUUCAUGCUAACUGUACAUGAACCAUGUAGGAGCACGUGACUGCCAGAGAUUGUCAACAUAAAGUAUCAAUGUGGCCAAUCGGGCAUGAAAGGAAGCAGCGCAAAAAAUGCAUGGAGGGAGACAAGAUGACGAGGGCGAGCACUGAACUUCCGUCAACACGAUUGUGAAUGGUACAGGAUAGCCUGUGGAGCACACUCGACUCGAAAUAAGGUGUUGGUACAUACUGCGCCGAGGGACGAACACAGAGGCAAUAAACAUCAGUAUGCAGAUGAGA